rnacentral:lncRNA from 1 species
CCCCAAAAAAAGUUUAACAUUAUUUUUUUUAAAAAACACAGAGAGUCCCCAUGGCCCCUCUCUCGCGCAGUCCCCUCUUCCGACUUAGGGCUCCUCCGGCGUUCAACUACGCCGUCGUCGACUUACGAUCGGCAACACGAUGGGAUGGGCUUUGCAGCCCCGUUUAACGGCGUCCUUGAGAGCCAAGACUCUCUCCACCCAUGGGAGUCGAAAACAAGGAAGGUUCUCGGCCUCUUGGACCCGAUUUGGACGACGGAGGAGAGACCCUCCGACGACGGAACCAAGGCCACUUCCGGUGAGUUCCCUCUCCCUUUAUUUUGAUUUUGAUUUUUUUUAUUAUAGCUAUUAAAAAAUAGAUUUGCAAAAGAAGAAAAAAUGUAAGAUAAAACAAGUAAACAAAUAAAAAAAGGAAAACGAAGAGGAAAUAACAAGGAUCCAAUCUUUCAAAAUUUCUGUGUUUCUUUCUGAUUUUCUCUGUUCAUCCAAACGAAGAAGCAGAUACAUGAGCAGUGCUUGGGGUUUUUUAUAACCCGAUUACCAAUGCUUUUAUCUCUAUUUUGUUUUUUUACAUUAUUUUUUCUUUGAUGUUGCGUCUACUUUUUGGCUUUGCAGGUGCCUGUGGCCGAUAGUGGUGGCAGAAGCGUGCGAGUGGAGGCGUGGGCUGGAGGCGUGGCAGACGAGGAGGCCACGUAAGGCAUGCGGCGGCCAGCUAGGGUUUGCUGCUGAAAUUUUAAGUUUGUGGGCUGAUUAUUUUGGGCUUAAGGUUUGGGUAGUUGGAAUUGAAUUUUGAGUUUGUUGUAUUUUAUUUUAUUUGGACAAUGGGCCCAGCAAAUUUGGGCUUCUACAAUCAGGAUUAAUGGGAGGGUUAGAGCCAAAUACUGCAUUUGCAAUCGUGAUAACUCCUGGAUUUUGGCUGCUGAGACCAGCAAAUGCAACUGCUUUGGUAUUCCUGAUAUUGAAUUGGAAAUGGAUGAGACCGACAGGGAAAGCAAACACAUCACUAGGGUUUAGGACUUUGGUGAUGAGGCGGUUAUCUGUGUUGGAUGUAACGAAACCGACAUAAAGUGUGCCUUCCAAAACCACAAGGAUCUCCGUUGCACGAGGGUGCGUGUGAGGAGGGUUUAGGCCACCAUAUGGAGCAUAGUCAAUUCGAACUAGAGAUAUGCCGAGAGUGUUAAGUCCCGGUAUUUGUGCCACAUUGACAGAGUCACAGUUGAUCCAACCGGAUUUGAGGUGUUUCUAGGGAUAUUAAGCCCUAAGUAGAAGAAGUCUUCUGCAUUGGCAAGCUUUGGGUCCUUGCAGAACUUUCCAUUUACAAACACUGUAUGAAACAAACUAAGGUUAGUCAAUAUCGUGAAUCCAUGCAAAUAUAUGAAUUCUUAUGAAGAAAUUGUUACUUCGGAUAAAAGGCUCUAGCGUCUUGCAUAAUUAUGGACUUAAAGAUACUAGUCAACAAGAGAGUACUGAGAAACAAAACAUAAUAUAACAAUAGCGUACCACCAUUCUUGGUGUCAUUGAUGGCUACACAGAAAUCUUGCAGGGGGCUGGGAUCAGAAGCUGAGGCUAAUAAGGAACUGAAGGCCAAGGUGGCAAAAGCUGCAACGAAAAGUUGAAGUCGUUUCAUCAUAAUUGAUGUGCAAGCACGAAAUGUAUGCUACUACUUGGGAGAGGGGUGGGAAAUCCUGCAUGGCAAACAGGUCUAUAUAUAGGCAUUGAAACAAAAGAACUCGUCCUGAUUUGCCUUUCAUCAAGUACGUGAAGACUAGGCGUUUGCUUUCACAAUUAGUCAUUUCUUAUUAGGAGGUGAAUCAGUCUUCAACCACUACACUUUCUAGUUCUGUUCUCCUCGAACAUUAUUGCAAUAUAUGUCGUGGAAUUGGUCUUAAUUAAUUCACUCGCAGUUCUAAACAUUUUCUUAUCCAGGCUUUGACUUUUCCUUCUCAGACUAAAGUUGAUGGGGAAAAGGAGGUGCUGAAAAUACAUUAUUAUCUUAUAAUUUGCUAGUGACAAGAAAGUUUUCUUGUAAAAUACUUCUUUCAAAUAUAUAUAUUGCAUCAAAUAUGAACUCAAAAAUAAUUCCAUCUGGCCUUAUGCAAACAAAUAUAUAUAUAAUUUUUUAUUCAGAU